GACGAACGCUGGCGGCGUGCCUAAUACAUGCAAGUCGAGCGGGUUUGUUCCUUCGGGGACAAGCUAGCAGCGGACGGGUGAGUAACACGUAGGUAACCUGCCUUCAAGAUCGGGAUAACUUUCGGAAACGAACGCUAAGACCGGAUAGCUGGUUUUCUCGCAUGAGAGAAUCAUGAAACACGGCGCAAUCUGUGGCUUGAAGAUGGGCCUGCGGCGCAUUAGCUAGUUGGUAGGGUAACGGCCUACCAAGGCGACGAUGCGUAGCCGACCUGAGAGGGUGAACGGCCACACUGGGACUGAGACACGGCCCAGACUCCUACGGGAGGCAGCAGUAGGGAAUCUUCCGCAAUGGACGCAAGUCUGACGGAGCAACGCCGCGUGAGUGAUGAAGGUUUUCGGAUCGUAAAGCUCUGUUGCCCUAGACGAACAGCAGGGAGAGUAACUGCUCUCUGUGUGACGGUAUAGGAGAAGAAAGCCCCGGCUAACUACGUGCCAGCCGCCGCCGUAA
rnacentral:rRNA from 1 species